AAAUACUUAACUGAAGACUUGUGUCAGAGUGUUUUCGCUCUGCAGCAGCGCUACUUUCACUUGAGUAGAGGAUUUUAAAACUUGUUGCAUCCAAACCUUCGAGCUGAUGCAGCACAACAGGAGAGUAUGGAUUAUUAUUGUGUACUUAAGUUCUCAGCUAAGUUUCACCGAAAUCCCCCAGCGGCUUUCACGUGUUCUGAAUGAAAAGUUGUCGCGCUUCGAAGUGUUGCGCAAGCGCAGCGGAAAACAACGUCGCGCCGAUCUGCUGCAAAAUAACACGUCACUAAUCAGAUCGAACCUUUCGCAGCCGGUUAAACACUUGGAGACGAUUAAAAGGUCCGAGUCGACCCCCCUCACCGUCGUCCGUGAAGCGAAAGCUGCGCAGGAACAGCAGGCAGUCGUGCAGUCCGGCGAACAGCGAGAAGCCGCCGCCGAACGGGUUGUCCCUGAAGAAGAGCUCGAACACUGCGGGGUCCUGGUGUCGGCCCGCCCGCCAGUACGCGUACGCCAUGGUGAACUGGUACAGGUCCGUCAGCAGCGGGGGGACCCGGUCGCGGAUAGAGCGCUCCGUGGCCCCACAUGUGUCUCUGGACGACGCUGCCAUGUUAUUCGAGCGCUGGCUCCAGGUUCACUGAUGCCGAGAUCUCUGGGACUUGCAGUUCUCCGAGGCUCCGCUGACUCGUUCGCCUCCUGAGGCAGGAACAAGACGGGGACAGCAGGCAGACGUGUGUUUGGGAAUAAAAUCAGCUGCAAAACCGGUUUCACGUCGACGCUUUGCGGGUCGCUGAUCCACGUUGUGUUGUGAUGGAGGACCAGUGGUCGGAGAAACGCUCCAGACUUUCACUGUGCAAACAUGUAAAAACUACAAGGCCUGCAGCCAACAGGAACACAGCAGAGAUGUUAAUCAGGUCGAAUUAUUUAGUUGGAUUGUUUGUACAUCAGUUUUCAUGAGCCAACGUGUCCUCUUCAAAUAAAUGUAGUUUAGAAACGGUUUGUACUGCACACACUUCAGUUAGGCCUACUUUAAAGAGCACAAAGAAGGAACCAUGAGAGAAAAGACUGUCAGAGUACCUCACUUUAUUUGUCUGAUGUCAUGUAUUCAGCAGAUUGUAAAAUAUUCGUCAUGGAGACCUUAUCAAACCCCAAAACAAGGUCCUGUUCUCAUGGAGGGAUUAAUAAAAACACUAACAAUGUCA